CUUUCAUUUUACUCAGAGGGUCCCUGCCCUGCUCAGUUUGGUUUCUGUUUCCAGUAAUUCCCCUCAAAACCACGCUCCUUUCUGCUGGAAUGAAAUUGUUUGCUGGUCUUUGCUGAGACUCCCAAGGACUUACACGCCCCGCCCAGAUCCACACUUCCUGCCGGCGCAUGGAUCUGCUGGCCCGGUUGCUGCUCAGGAUAGCGUCUUCCUCUUGUGGGGGAAAGAGGAGAACAGGGGAUUCCCUCAGGAGUUCACAUUUUCUUAAUUGAUGGAAAUUUCAUGACUGUCGUGGAAUCGAUGAAGGGCCUCCGUAAAGCCCCAAGUUUCCUGUAACAGUUUGGAAACCACGGAUCUCUCUAAACCCCUCACUUUACAGAUGAGGCAAUGGAGACCGAAGAAAUGAAAGGAACAUACACCAAAGCACACACAGAGUGGAAGACCUGAGGGAGAGCGCUCCCAUCUUGGCACCUAGAAUAGUACCCUUUUCUAUCACAAGGACCUGCCCUCUGGAUCUUAACAGGAAUGUGCUUACCAGUGUUCAACAAAGUGCUUCCCAAGUGCUUUCAAGAUGCUCUCUGAAAAACGCACUGAACAAAUACUGAGGCAUCUGAGGAGAGAGGUUGGGCGACAGGCUGAGGAUGGGCCAUCCUGUCCAGCUGCUCGCUGCCAGCCCCAGGACACCAUCAUCUAUGAAUUACAGCCAUAGAUCCCACUGGAUCAAGAAACCCUGCCUGCCACUCCAACUUGCUGCCUAUUGAGCAAUUAUGUUCAUUGUGCCUCUGAAAGCCACUAGUGGACUUCUCCGAGAUGCUCAUAGCUUCCUCGACAAUUCCUCCCUGAAAUAGGGAUCUUGCUCCUCCGUCUACUCUUGCUGAGACCUGACUUUGGCUGUCAGUCUGGAGACAAUGAAGGUUGGCGGAUGUUAGCUUGUCUUCAGGAGGACAAGCAUCAUCUUGUGAAGACGCUGCUUUAGGUGAAAGCUUGCGUAUUCUCCAGGCAGGCAGAAGCUGGUCUUCUCUGGCGAAGGCGAUAAUGAAGGUGCUGCCUCUUCGGGAAGGACGGCGGAAGGGAAUUUGGAGUUUCUCGGUGCUCAGUUUCCUGCACCGAAAUGUCUCCGUCCCAGUACCCAGAGUCCUCCACUAUCCCUAGUAGGGCCCUGACUUGACACAGAAUAUUUGCUGAGGCUCCGCAUUUCGUCUUCACGGCAGCUCUAAAUGCCCUAGAAUUAGGUCCUUGCCCUGAUUCUCAGCACAGUCUUUCCCGAGGGUGCAGGAAAUAAAGAUUUCCUUUAAUACCGCCUUUCGAGGGCAUCUGGAUGUUAGAUCAAGCCUUAAAUUGACUUCCCUGAGCUGUUAUUUAUUUAAAUAUCUUUAAUGCUGUAAUAAGUAUCUCUCCUAACCCACAAUCCUCGUAAUUAGCAUUGUUUCUAUGUUGAUUGAAUGCCAUGACCCCUUGUGCUCCCAGGGCUAGGCCUCCCUCCACCUGCACUCUAUCCCUAUUAACUACAAUGAAGGUUGAAGAAAUCAUGAGUCACCAAAUGCCAAGGGAUUAUUACCAUUCCACGUACCUCUAGCAGUGGCAUACCUAUGACUUUCCGACAGGCGGCCCAUUGGCCUCCCUAAUUCCAUCUUGAAGAUUGUUUCCUAGAACUACCCUUGGACAAUUGUUUAAGCUGUGUCUUCUAGAAAGCAGAGUGUUAGCCGAGGAUUCAAGUGCUGAUGUGAUAUUUGCAAAGUGCAAGACCUGUGAGAUGAGGGUGAAGAAGAAUGGAAAGCAAGUCAAGGGAGCCUGGGAGGUUAUGCAGCACGUUACUCUGCUGGCCAUUGCUCCACAACGAGCCAUGAAAAGCCACGCAACACAAUUGGUGGUAUGCUCACGCUGCACAUCGGAUUUUCUCCAAGAGAAUUUCAAGGAGAAACGAGUCCCCAGAGUAGUCCACAGAAGGGAGACAUGAGGAGAAAUUUGUCAUGCAGCUUCCUUCCAUCUUCCACUUCCUAGUGGAUGCUCGGCCCCCCGUGUUCCCUGAUCGGCCUCGAUGGCAGUGACUCAGAGGGCCUGAUGCCAUCCUCUGACCGUGGCACGUCAUCCAAGUCUAGACCUCAGUAUGGUACAGAGUACUGGUUGGCCAUGUGGCCUGGGGCCUAUCCUGGGUUUCUGCCCCCUUGGGGAGGUUGGUCAAAAGCAGUGGCAGUAACAUGGUUCAGGAGACAAGCAGAAUCUUGGGAAGGAAGCCAGGAAGGUAAUCCAGAGAGGCACCAGGUCUGUGUCAGCAACACUGUGCUUCAGGAAAACAGGGACAAAUCAAGUGCAUGUCACUCAAGAAUUCUUAUUUUGGACACAAUUUCGUCAGAUACAAUUUUGUUACUUUCAAGGGCCCUACACAUUAUAAAUGAAAGCUUGAGUGUGUGAACAUCGUCCAUGAAAACAUCCAGGUGUGCCGAGUUUCAUGCCAUCGCUCUGCCCUUGAAAGAAAGGAAGAACUCCUUGUUUCAGGGAGCCUGGUGGGUAACUCUUGUGUAAGGCGUGAACUCCUUUGUAGAUGCGAACGCUCAUGUUCUAAUUAGCAGUGGGAAGGGUUCAGUUUCAGCAAAAGAGGUUUUCUUAAAGGUUCGCGUUGUCUAGUAUUGUAUCUUGAAGUGAAAAACCUAAUUUAUUGUUUGCUCAGUCCAGAUGGAAUUUUUACUCACUAAAGAUAAAGCCAGUGGCUUCCAGACAUUGUAUGUUCUCAAGGGAAGUUGAAGGGCUUGCAUUUUUCUCAUGAGAUGGCUCGCGGCUGGCCACUGUGGACUGGGCUUUACAGAGCCAGGACAGUGAAGGAAAACCAGACUGAAGCUGUCACCAAUUUUUGAUGACCUCAGGACAUGCCAAUGACAAGAUGGUGAAGGGAUUAAGCUGAUUUUGCUCAACAGUGCCAACCUUUUAGGGUUUAAUGGGGGAAGAUAAUCAUUGUAGUGACAGGUUCACGUUCCCAUAGUAGAAAAAUAAUACUUUUCACUGUGCAAAUAUUGAGGUGCUUUCACUCUCUUCCAUAGAUUCAUUUCUUCACAGAGGGAGUUACAACAUGAGAUUUGAUUGACAACCACGGGUGAACCAUGUGAUAUUAACCUUAAAUACUCUCAGAGCCAUGUUACUUUAACAAGAGUCACGUAUAGCUCUCUGAGCACCUGCUAUCGCACUGAGGUCUAUUUCAGAAUCGAGGCCCGAUUCUCCCUAUAACUGAAGGUAUGCAAGGAGCCUUAUCUUCUGCCCUGGCUGUGCCUUAUCAGUGAGUCCUCUGUCUUCCCUGUGUUGACUCUUUGCCUGGAUCUAUGGCUUCCUGACUCUCACCUGCUAGAUCUGGGAAUCUGUCCCAAUGACUCUCAAACUCAACUGUAUCAAAACAAUCCCAGGAGCUUUAAAAAAGUACAGACACCUAGGAUUAUAUCCUCCCUGGUUCUGAAUCUCUAGGGCUGGAGCCUGUGGAUUGUCUGUAAUUUUGAGAAGUCCUUUACGUAAUUCUAAUGCUGCAAUGCCAUCAUUAGGCUAUGGUUAGGAAUGGCCUAUUUUUACCUGGGCUGAUCCUUUUUAGUUACUUUCUGGAUUCAAUUUUUGAGGCCACUUCGGGAUCCCUCCUUGGUAAAUGUGGAAUCCUCAUGGGUUUAAUAGAGAAAGGAACAUUUACCCAUACAUUCAGGUAUGUAUGUAUGUAUGUAUGUAUGUAUGUAUUUAUGUAUCUAUCCAUCCUUCCAUCUACUGAAAUAAUAUUUUUUUAUGUUCGGUGCCUGCUACAGGGAUGACUGUUAGUAGAAACCCAGAGGGUUACUUGAGCCUUAACUUGUGGGAUGCUGUACCAGAUACUGAGUCUCUGUUAGUCUGUGAUUUCCUUGGAGGUAGGGACCCCAUCUCUCCACAUGGUUAUGUCUUAACUAUUUAGUGUCAGAAUUGUGGAAAGUGCUUGACCUUUUUUUAUUAUUGAAAUGGAAUGAAAAUAGAGUUACAAACUCAUGUUCUCUAUCUGUUCCAUCAUACAAACAACACAGAAGCGCUGGACGUCUUCCAAAGGCCCAAUUGUUAUAGGCAUGGGCACUCAGUAAGCUUUAAUCUGUUAAUGUGAAGUCAGAAAGUCAGGUAAGUCACAGUGGAUUCUUGGGAGACACUAGAAUGGUAGACGUUAACAGGAGGAACUACUGGGUGUGGAAAUUGGAACUGAGGUAGACUGGUAUAUAUUUUAACCUAGAAGGACGGUCUUUCCUCUUUUAUAGCAGUUACGCUCUGCCUUAAUGCUGCAGAAUUUUGGAGUGAUGAAUACCCGAGCAGCCCUGCUGUGCUGGAGCAUGGGCUCGGUCUGGCUUUCUGAUUGGAUGAAGGGCAGAGGACAGGGUGCACGCUGAGUUGGAGGGUGUGGAAGUGGGCCCUACAGAAAUGCAAGAUGCUCUGCAUUUGUGUACUUCAUCUGUUAGAACCGUAGCACAUUAAUCAGUGUUGUUUUAAAUUAUUGGUUUGAUAAUUCCAACAUCCCUGCCAUAUCUGAGUCUGGUCAAUGUAAGCAGAAAGAUGGAAAUUCUAAAAAGAAUAAAAAAUAAAUGCUAGAGAUCAAAACAGCUGUAACUGAAGUGAAGAAUGCCUUUGAUGGCCUCAUUAGUAGACUGGACAUGGCCAAGGAAAGAAUCUAUGAGCUUGAGGAUAUGUCAAUAGGAACUUCCAAAACAGAAGAGCAAGCAGAAAAAAGACUGAAAAAAAGGGGGCACCUGGGUGACACAGUCACUUAAGCGUCUGACUCUUGGUUUUGGCUCAGGUUGUAAUCUCAAGGUCAUGAGAUCGAGCCCCGUGUAAUGC